UUCUGCAUUUAUUUUUUCUAUCUUUCUCUGUACUUUGUGCUGAUGAUCGAUCACCAGGCAGAGGAAGAUAAAACUGAAUAUUUAUGGGGAGCACAGGAAAGGACCCUGCUGUGAGCUAUUAGCUCAGCUGAUGACGUGUGCUCCCAGUUGGAAUCUGAAGGGAUGACUCUGAGCCUCUCACCUGGAACCAAAGCCUCAUCAGAGAAGACUGGCCAUAGUGGGAGACAGAUCCUAAGAACUCGAAGGGAAAAACAGUUACUAAUUAAAAAAUAG
rnacentral:lncRNA from 1 species